rnacentral:rRNA from 1 species
GACGAACCGUCCAAACGUUAUUCGGAAUUACUGGGCUUAAAGGGUGCGUAGGCGGUCUGAUAAGUUGGGUGUGAAAGACCUCGGCUCAACCGAGGAAUAGCGCCCAAUACUGCUAGACUUGAGAAAGGCAGAGGUGAACGGAACUUAGGGUGGAGCGGUGAAAUGCGUUGAUAUCCUAAGGAACACCAGUAGCGAAAGCGGUUCACUGGGCCUUUUCUGACGCUGAGGCACGAAAGCCAGGGGAGCGAACGGG